CCUACGGGGGGCAGCAGUGGGGAAUAUUGCACAAUGGGGGAAACCCUGAUGCAGCGACGCCGCGUGAGUGAAGAAGUAUUUCGGUAUGUAAAGCUCUAUCAGCAGGGAAGAAAAAAGACGGUACCUGACUAAGAAGCCCCGGCUAACUACGUGCCAGCAGCCGCGGUAAUACGUAGGGGGCGAGCGUUAUCCGGAUUCACUGGGUGUAAAGGGAGCGUAGACGGCCGUGCAAGCCAGGAGUGAAAGCCCGGGGCCCAACCCCGGGACUGCUCUUGGAACUGUGCGGCUGGAGUGCGGGAGGGGCAGGCGGAAUUCCUGGUGUAGCGGUGAAAUGCGUAGAUAUCAGGAGGAACACCGGCGGCGAAGGCGGCCUGCUGGACCGCGACUGACGUUGAGGCUCGAAAGCGUGGGGAGCGAACAGGAUUAGAUACCCUGGUAGUC
rnacentral:rRNA from 1 species